ensembl:lncRNA
AUGGAUACUGGACCAAUUUUCAUAAUAAUUCCCCUCAGUCUGCUACUUCUGAAUCCAUUAGAAGCUGGACUGUCAGCACCGCGACAUGUGAAUGGCACAAAGGGAGGCAAUGUAACAAUACGCUGUAAAUAUGACAUUAAAGCCCACAGUUCUUCACAGUCCUGGUGUAAGGUGUUACACUCUUACACUGACCAAUGUGAGAACACUGUCAGUCCUGUUUACAAGGACCUUAAUGGAAGAGUGAGAAUUGAAAAGCACUCCAACUAUUUUGAUGUCAUUAUGGAGAGUCUUCAGAUGAAAGAUUCUGGAACUUAUCGCUGUGUAUAUGGGUACCCGCAUUACUUCAAUGAAUGGAAGAUAUUAACAGCAGAUGUUGAACUUAUUAUAACAGAUCCACAGAUAUUUUUAACAACUUCAGCAGUGGCUACAAUAAACACUGUUACAAAGAGAUCUGCCAAAACUGUUACAGCAAGAAAAGAUAUGCAUCUUGCCAAAGCAUCAAGUAAAGCUUCGAGUCCUAUCAAAGGAGCUCUCAGUCAAAGUCCUCUGCUCUAUGGCAUCAUUUGUCUCCUUGCCAUCAUAGCCAUUACUCUUCUGAUGAUUUUACUCAAACUGUACUGCAAAAGACGCAAAGAUCGUGUACAAAGUCCUGAUCUUGGUGGAGGCACUUUUCACAUGAGCGAUAUCAGAAAUGACUUAUAUCUUGCAAAUCCUGUCCCUAAACCACCUUACACUGGAUGUACAGAUGAUUCAUCCUCUACUAGCUCAGAGAGCUCAGGUCAUUCAUUCGGGAACAAAUCUGUCAGCACCCACCAUCAGUAUCUGACUAUAAUACCCACUUGUAAGGAUGCAGACUAUGAAAAUGUCCCUGAAGAAAUGCCUUCAGUUCUGCCAGACUAUGAAAAUAUGACUCCAGACAAAGACCAGGACUACGUCAAUAUACCCGAAUCCCAGAACACAUCUUCCACUGAGGACCAAGACGAUGAGGCUGGCCAUCCUAAAGGAAAAUGGAAAAAGAGUACAGCCAGCUGUAAGAGCAGCAGCAGCAGUGAGAGCAGCAGCAGUGACGAAAGUGAAGAAGAAUCAGUAAAUUACAGCUUGGUUGUCUUUAAAAAAGGCACAGAGUAGGUACUCAAAAGACACAGGCUUCCAUGCUUUCUAGCCACAUCAUCUUUUUUUGGGCAGGCAAAAUGCUAAAAGCCUAAUUUUCAUUUUUCUAUCAAGUUACUGACAUUAAUGUUUGCAGCACUAUAGCAAAUUCUGCAUUUCAAGUAAGACGCUUACU